rnacentral:rRNA from 1 species
CAAUAGCGUAUAUUAAAGUUGUUGCAGUUAAAAAGCUUGUAGUUGGAUUUCGGGACGGGCCAGUUGGUCCGCCGCAAGGUGUGUUACUGACUGGUCUGUUCUUCUUCGCAAAGACUGCGUGUGCUCUUCGUUGAGUGUGCGUAGGAUUUACGACGUUUACUUUGAAAAAAUUAGAGUGUUCAAAGCAGGCUAUCGCUUGAAUACAUGAGCAUGGAAUAAUGGAAUAGGACUUUGGUCCUAUUUUGUUGGUUUCUAGGGCCGAAGUAAUGAUUAAGAGGGACAAUUGGGGGCAUCCGUAUUUCGUUGUCAGAGGUGAAAUUCUUGGAUUUACGAAAGACGAACAACUGCGAAAGCACUUGCCAAGAGUGUUUUCAUUAA